CAGCCGCCGCGGGAAUACGAAGGGUGCAAGCGUUACUCAGAAUUACUGGGCGUAAAGCGUGCGUAGGUGGUGGUUUAAGUCCGUUGUGAAAGCCCUGGGCUCAACCUGGGAAUUGCAGUGGAUACUGGGUCACUAGAGUGUGGUAGAGGAUAGUGGAAUUUCCGGUGUAGCAGUGAAAUGCGUAGAGAUCGGAAGGAACAUCUGUGGCGAAGGCGACUAUCUGGGCCAACACUGACACUGAGGCACGAAAGCGUGGGGAGCAAACAGGAUUAGAUACCCGGGUAGUCCCUGUCUCUUAUAC
rnacentral:rRNA from 1 species